GCAUAGUUCUUCCGCAUGGUAGAACUAUUAAAGAAUUUCGGUCAUCGAUGGGGAUGCGUUCCAUUAGCUUGUUGGCGGGGUAACGGCCCACCAAGGCAUCGAUGGAUAGGGGUUCUGAGAGGAAGGUCCCCCACAUUGGAACUGAGACACGGUCCAAACUCCUACGGGAGGCAGCAGUGAGGAAUAUUGGUCAAUGGGCGCUAGCCUGAACCAGCCAAGUAGCGUGAAGGAUGACUGCCCUAUGGGUUGUAAACUUCUUUUAUAUGGGAAUAAAGUGCAGUAUGUAUACUGCUUUGCAUGUACCUUAUGAAUAAGGAUCGGCUAACUCCGUGCCAGCAGCCGCGGUAAUACGGAGGAUCCGAGCGUUAUCCGGAUUUAUUGGGUUUAAAGGGAGCGUAGGCGGGUUGUUAAGUCAGUUGUGAAAGUUUGCGGCUCAACCGUAAAAUUGCAGUUGAUACUGGCAUCCUUGAGUACAGUAGAGGUAGGCGGAAUUCGUGGUGUAGCGGUGAAAUGCUUAGAUAUCACGAAGAACUCCGAUUGCGAAGGCAGCCUGCUGGACUGUAACUGACGCUGAUGCUCGAAAGUGUGGGUAUCAAACAGGAUUAGAUACCCUGGUAGUCCACACAGUAAACGAAGA
rnacentral:rRNA from 1 species